GCCUCGAUAGCUCAGCUGGUAGAGCGACUGCCUUGUAAGCAGUAGGUCGAGGGUUCGAAUCCCUCUCGAGGCU
rnacentral:tRNA from 1 species